CACACACCACUCACAGGUAGUGAUUGAACCAAGCUGGCUUCCCUCAUUUCCGAGAGGAUCCUCAUAGCUUCUCACUCUAGUACCCUCUGUCACUGCCACUGUUCUCCUGGGGUUCAGUAGUGGGGCCAUGGCAAUCCUGAGGCCCCUUCAAGUUUCACAAGCAGACCCGUUAGGAGACCAGCGGGCACAGUGACCCAUCAGCCUUUGAGAGCCCCACCUGGAAUCUCACUUCUACAUGCUAGGUUGAGCAGUGGUUCUCAACCUUCCUGACACUUCGACCCUUUAAUACAGUUCCUCAUGUUGUGGUGACCCCUGUGAAAAGGUCAUUUAACCCCCAGCAGGGUCACAACCCACAGGCUGAGAACUGCUGUUCAUCACUGAGAUUGCCAACUGUGAGGAAUAAACACAAGAUGGCUCCGAUCUGAGACACUGGCCUCUGAGUAGGAAGGGGUGUUGUCACGUGACGAAUCACAAGCAUGCAGAGACAGUACCGGCUUCCAAGUCCACAUACAACUGGUCUCCCAACACCUGACAAGGAAGCUAACGGAGUCAGAUAACCGCUCAUAGUACAGGGUCUGGCAGCACCUUGGGACACACCACGAGCACAAGAGAAGCACAGAGCCUAUGGUGGGACACAGGCAUGAACCACCAUGGUCCCCACUGGCAAAGCAGCUUCCCUAACCAGAACUAUCUCCUUCUUUCCCAGGAAGCUUUAAUCGUCUUCUUUUCACAACUAAAAAUGGGCCAGGAUCCAGCAGAGGACAGUGGCAAGGAAGGCUCAGCAUGAAAAAGAAAAGCAGCUACCAUCCAGUGUACCUUGUGACCACCCCUUUCUCAGUUCCCUACAAGAUCCUGGUAGGGGUCGUCAAAUUCACGUGGCUUUGUGUUAACAGUACCUCCAAGACUAGAAAGGAUUAAAAACUCACAAAGA